rnacentral:rRNA from 1 species
UACGGAGGGUGCGAGCGUUGUCCGGAAUCACUGGGCGUAAAGGGCGCGUAGGCGGCCUCUUAAGGGUGCGGUGAAAGUCCGGGGCUCAACCCCGGAUCGGCCGUGCCGACUGAGAGGCUGGAGCACUGUAGAGGCGAGUGGAAUUCCGGGUGUAGCGGUGGAAUGCGUAGAGAUCCGGAGGAACACCAGCGGCGAAGGCGGCAUCCUGGACUGGUCCUGACACUCAUGAGCGAAAGCGUGGGGAGCGAUCCGG